UACAGAGGUCUCGAGCGUUAGGCGGAAUCACUGGGCUUAAAGCGUGUGUAGGCGGAUCGGUAAGUACCUUGUGAAAUCCCACAGCUUAACUGUGGAACUGCUUGGUAUACUGCCAGUCUUGAGCCACUUAGGGGCUACCGGAACAAAUGGUGGAGCGGUGAAAUGCGUAGAUAUCUGGAGGAACACCGGUGGCGAAGGCGGCAUCCUGGACCAAUAUUGACGCUGAGGAGCGAAAGCGUGGGGAGCAAACAGGAUUAGAAACCCCCAGU
rnacentral:rRNA from 1 species